UCUAGAACUCAGGAAGCAGAGGGAAGAUCAAGGCCUAAUGGCACUGACCUGUAACCCCAGAUACUCGGGAGGCUAAGAUCUCUAUGUAGGAUGGAGCCCGCUCGAUCGCCUGAGUCCCAAUCUGGAUCCGCAUGCCCGUCAUCACCAUGGUGCUGCUGUUGUUGCUGAUCUCAAUGGUGAAGCCGCCAGGCUGCGGGAAAAGAGCAUAGUCAGAAAAUCUCCAGGGUCCUUCCUCCCACAUCCCCUCAAUGGCUACCUGGACUUGCAGCAGGUCAUUCCCACCAAACUCCACAUCCGUUAGCUGCUGGUUGUGUUCAAAAAAGUCAAUGGGGAAGGUCACCUGGCUGGACGUGCGGGCUGCUGUGGGAACAGUACCAGUUUGCCAGAACAUUAAUGUAUAGUCUCAGCACCUCCCACCUCACUCCAAAGCUCAAGAUUAAGCCCUGCUGACACUCUGCUCUAAUCAAACGGGACUCCAUCACCGCCUACCACAGUGAUACUCCAGGUUUCAUGAUGCUGAUGACGCUGCUGGGCUGCAGAGAUGGCUGGAGCCAGUAAGAGAACCCCUGGCCAAGCGUUCAGAUGUGCAGUGGGUUGGUUUACUAAGAGCCAGGUGCAUGCUACCAUCACUGCAAUGUGUGCCUCACUGAAGCUUUGCUGCUCGGAAUAGGCGACCUGUCAAGACUAUCAACACACAAGACCACAGAGCUGCGUAAGGUGGAAGGCGUGGGCCCUAUGCAGUGCUCCUGUCCAUUUGAUGUCCUUCCAGACCAGCAAACUCCUCUGCCCCGCAAAGGAGGCUCCUCUUACAGUCUGGAGUCUCCACAGUAACGAAUGAGCAAGCAGGCUUGCCAACCAUGGUGGCUAUUUAUCUUUAAAGAUAGAAGCUGGAGGCUACAAGCAGUGUGGGAAGCAGUAGUGGAGAGGAGGAGGGCUGAGGAUGAGAAGGGAGGGCAGAGAGCCCCACUGAGCGAGGGUGUCUGUGAGGCCAAUACUACUCAAGUCGAUGGCUCUCACCUUUUGAUGUUGAUGGGGAAGAGCUGCAACACUUCCAGGGUGCUCCUGCUGACAGUGGCUGCAAAGGACUUGCCCUGACUGUAGCUGAAGAAAAGCAUCUGCAACACGUGUGAAUAGUACACAGACACGCCACCACCUGCCACCUGGCUGUUACUGUCCUGUAGGAGCAAAGACACGCAUGUGCAGGACUUCACUUACUGGCCGGAACCCAACUUCUGGGGCAGAACUUUAACCUAUCACCAGGCAUGAGACCCCUAUGAGUGGGCCUCACAAUGACUAGCGAGCGUAAUGCCCAGAUGUUAUAAAGGACUGACCAAUAAUAAACGUGCUUACAAAAUA